GUGGGGAAUAUUGCGCAAUGGGCGAAAGCCUGACGCAGCGACGCCGCGUGAGUGAUGAAGGCCUUCGGGUCGUAAAGCUCUGUCGGGCGGGAAGAAAAAGCCCCAUCUGAAUAGGGUAGGGCUCUGACGUUACCGCCGAAGGAAGCACCGGCUAACUCCGUGCCAGCAGCCGCGGUAAAACGGAGGGUGCAAGCGUUGCUCGGAAUCACUGGGUGUAAAGGGCGCGUAGGUGGUCAUUUAAGUCGGAUGUUAAAGCCCUGGGCUCAACCCAGGAAUCGCAUUCGAAACUGAAUGGCUUGAGGGUGGGAGAGGAAAGUGGAAUUCCCGGUGUAGAGGUGAAAUUCGUAGAUAUCGGGAGGAACACCAGUGGCGAAGGCGGCUUUCUGGACCAUCCCUGACACUGAGGCGCGAAAGCGUGGGGAGCAAACAGGAUUAGAAACCCCUGUAGUCC
rnacentral:rRNA from 1 species